rnacentral:rRNA from 1 species
UACGUAGGGGGCAAGCGUUAUCCGGAUUUACUGGGUGUAAAGGGAGCGUAGACGGCGCUGCAAGUCUGGAGUGAAAGCCCGGGGCUCAACCCCGGGACUGCUUUGGAAACUGUGGGGCUAGAGUGCAGGAGAGGUAAGUGGAAUUCCUAGUGUAGCGGUGAAAUGCGUAGAUAUUAGGAGGAGCACCAGUGGCGAAGGCGGCUUACUGGACUGUAACUGACGUUGAGGCUCGAAAGCGUGGGGAGCAAACAGG